rnacentral:rRNA from 1 species
UACGAGGGGAGCUAGCGUUGUUCGGAAUUACUGGGCGUAAAGGGCGUGUAGGCGGUACCGUAAGUCAGAUGUGAAAGCCCCAGGCUUAACCUGGGAGGUGCAUUUGAUACUGCGGAACUAGAGAUCGAGAGAGGAAAGUGGAAUUACGAGUGUAGAGGUGAAAUUCGUAGAUAUUCGUAAGAACACCAGUGGCGAAGGCGGCUUUCUGGUCUGUAACUGACACUGAGGCGCGAAAGCGUGGGGAGCGAACAGG